ACGAACGCUGGCGGCGUGCCUAAUACAUGCAAGUCGAACGCUUCUUUUUCCACCGGAGCUUGCUCCACCGGAAAAAGAGGAGUGGCGAACGGGUGAGUAACACGUGGGUAACCUGCCCAUCAGAAGGGGAUAACACUUGGAAACAGGUGCUAAUACCGUAUAACAAUCGAAACCGCAUGGUUUUGAUUUGAAAGGCGCUUUCGGGUGUCGCUGAUGGAUGGACCCGCGGUGCAUUAGCUAGUUGGUGAGGUAACGGCUCACCAAGGCGACGAUGCAUAGCCGACCUGAGAGGGUGAUCGGCCACAUUGGGACUGAGACACGGCCCAAACUCCUACGGGAGGCAGCAGUAGGGAAUCUUCGGCAAUGGACGAAAGUCUGACCGAGCAACGCCGCGUGAGUGAAGAAGGUUUUCGGAUCGUAAAACUCUGUUGUUAGAGAAGGACAAGGAUGAGAGUAACUGUUCAUCCCUUGACGGUAUCUAACCAGAAAGCCACGGCUAACUACGUGCCAGCAGCCGCGGUAAUACGUAGGUGGCAAGCGUUGUCCGGAUUUAUUGGGCGUAAAGCGAGCGCAGGCGGUUUCUUAAGUCUGAUGUGAAAGCCCCCGGCUCAACCGGGGAGGGUCAUUGGAAACUGGGAGACUUGAGUGCAGAAGAGGAGAGUGGAAUUCCAUGUGUAGCGGUGAAAUGCGUAGAUAUAUGGAGGAACACCAGUGGCGAAGGCGGCUCUCUGGUCUGUAACUGACGCUGAGGCUCGAAAGCGUGGGGAGCAAACAGGAUUAGAUACCCUGGUAGUCCACGCCGUAAACGAUGAGUGCUAAGUGUUGGAGGGUUUCCGCCCUUCAGUGCUGCAGCUAACGCAUUAAGCACUCCGCCUGGGGAGUACGACCGCAAGGUUGAAACUCAAAGGAAUUGACGGGGGCCCGCACAAGCGGUGGAGCAUGUGGUUUAAUUCGAAGCAACGCGAAGAACCUUACCAGGUCUUGACAUCCUUUGACCACUCUAGAGAUAGAGCUUCCCCUUCGGGGGCAAAGUGACAGGUGGUGCAUGGUUGUCGUCAGCUCGUGUCGUGAGAUGUUGGGUUAAGUCCCGCAACGAGCGCAACCCUUAUUGUUAGUUGCCAUCAUUUAGUUGGGCACUCUAGCAAGACUGCCGGUGACAAACCGGAGGAAGGUGGGGAUGACGUCAAAUCAUCAUGCCCCUUAUGACCUGGGCUACACACGUGCUACAAUGGGAAGUACAACGAGUCGCAAAGUCGCGAGGCUAAGCUAAUCUCUUAAAGCUUCUCUCAGUUCGGAUUGUAGGCUGCAACUCGCCUACAUGAAGCCGGAAUCGCUAGUAAUCGCGGAUCAGCACGCCGCGGUGAAUACGUUCCCGGGCCUUGUACACACCGCCCGUCACACCACGAGAGUUUGUAACACCCGAAGUCGGUGAGGUAACCUUUUGGAGCCAGCCGCCUAAGGUGGGAUAGAUGAUUGGGGUG
rnacentral:rRNA from 1 species